UUCCGGUUGAUCCUGCCGGACCUGACUGCUAUCGGAUUGAUACUAAGCCAUGUGAGUCAUUGUAGCAAUACAAGGCAGACGGCUCAGUAACACGUAGCCAAUCUAACCUAUGGACGGGGAUAACCUCGGGAAACUGAGGAUAAACCCCGAUAGAUCAUUAUGCCUGGAACGGUUUAUGGUCCAAAUGAUUCGUCGCCGUAGGAUGAGACUGCGGCCUAUCAGCUUGUUGGUGAGGUAAUGGCCCACCAAGGCUAUUACAGGUACGGGCUCUGAGAGGAGAAGCCCGGAGAUGGGUACUGAGACACGGACCCAGGCCCUAUGGGGCGCAGCAGGCGAGAAACCUUUGCAAUGUGCGCAAGCACGACAAGGUUAAUCCGAGUGUUUCCUGCUAAAGGAAUCUUUUGUUAGUCUUAAAAUCACUAUUGAAUAAGGGGUGGGCAAGUUCUGGUGUCAGCCGCCGCGGUAAAACCAGCACCUCAAGUGGUCAGGAGGAUUAUUGAGCCUAAAGCAUCCGUAGCCUGCUCUGUAAGUUUCCGGUUAAAUUCAUUAGCUCAACUAAUGGCCUGCCGGAAAUACUGCAGAACUAGGAAGUGGGAGAGGUAGACGGUACUCGGUAGGAAGGGGUAAAAUCCUUUGAUCUAUUGAUGACCACCUGUGGCGAAGGCGGUCUACCAGAACACGUUCGACGGUGAGGGAUGAAAGCUGGGGGAGCAAACCGGAUUAGAUACCCGGGUAGUCCCAGCUGUAAACGAUGCAGACUCGGUGAUGCGCUGGCUUGUGGCCAGUGCAGUGCCGCAGGGAAGCCGUCAAGUUUGCCGCCUGGGAAGUACGUACGCAAGUAUGAAACUUAAAGGAAUUGGCGGGGGAGCACCACAAGGGGUGAAGCCUGCGGUUCAAUUGGAGUCAACGCCAGAAAUCUUACCCGGAGAGACAGCAGAAUGAAGGUCAAGCUGAAGACUUUACCAGACAAGCUGAGAGGUGGUGCAUGGCCGCCGCCAGCUCGUGCCGUGAGAUGUCCUGUUAAGUCAGGCAACGAGCGAGACCCA
rnacentral:rRNA from 1 species